rnacentral:rRNA from 1 species
UUCGAGUGGCGGACGGGUGAGUAACGCGUGGGUAACCUGCCUUACACAGGGGGAUAACACCUGGAAACAGGUGCUAAUACCGCAUAAGCGCACAGGGCCGCAUGGCCCGGUGUGAAAAACUCCGGUGGUGUAGGAUGGACCCGCGUCUGAUUAGCUUGUUGGCGGGGUAGGGGCCCACCAAGGCGACGAUCAGUAGCCGGCCUGAGAGGGUGGACGGCCACAUUGGGACUGAGACACGGCCCAAACUCCUACGGGAGGCAGCAG